rnacentral:lncRNA from 1 species
UAACUUUUCAAAUUGUCGAAUCAAUGGAGAUUUAAUCUAUUUACUAUUGAUUGAAAUCUCUACCUUUUCUCAAAGUGGUUCAAGGAAUAUAGUGCUCAAAAUUAGAUUUUUUUAAACAUUCAUGUUCAUAAAUUUUAUUUUUGAAAGAACAAAUAGACCCUUGACCUAGUUAUAACUAUUGACAAACCGAAAAUCUUCGAUUCUUUACGUUUUGUUUGACAUAUAAAUCUUAAUCUUUUAACUAGUCAAUGAAAUCAUUUAUUCGGACAUUCAAUUUUUUCCAGUAUUUAUUAUGCUAUGUCUUUGGCAUGGUUUAUAUAUGUUUGGUGCUUGGCUGUACCGAUUACAAAGUUGUUUUGAAAUUUAAAACGAGGUACAAUAAUUUUAAUGGUGAUGGGUACGAUUUUUGUAGCUUUCCAAUCUGAUUUAAAGGACAGAUUUCACUUCUGAUAAUGUAAAUUGAAAGAAUGUUUAUAUUAAAACUUUUGAUAAUUUUACUAUUUAUAUUAGAUUUGAAAACAUUAUAUAAUAUUAAUCUGAAUUUCCCAUGGAUAUAUUGAAGUGAGAUUGAAGUUUGUCCUUUAAUUUAGCGCCGACUACAAAAAGAUUAAACACUAAGUUUGGUGUUCCAGCUAAUAAACCACACAAUUGUAUUAAAGUGCUUGCACUGUAUGCAUGAUGGAGGUAUCUUUUACAAUAUCAACAUGUCCUGAUUUCGGAUUUUAAUCCAAAUCUCGACUUCAUGGUGUGAUUAAUAACUAGUGCAAAUAUUAACUGCACAAUACGUUUAACAACCAACACUAAAUGUUUGCAAUACUAACACCAUAUAACAAUCCAUGAUUAUUGGAACAGGUUUUAUGUGAAAUAGACAAACCCAUCACUGUUUGGGGAAACAUACAUGUUACUUGCAUGUUGCCACAUGCAUGCCACAUGCACUUGAUGACUGGAUUAUCCCCCUUUUAUUUUAAAUCGAAGGGUCCACUCGUCACACCUCGGUCGAUUCGAUUCCUCCAGUUAAAGGAGAAAGACUACGACCGAGGUUUGUCGAGUUUAACGUGUUUAAAUGAGAUUAAAGUCCAGAUUUUAGUGCAUGUAGUUUUUAAAUUUUGUACGUGAGGUCUUGUGUUAAUAGACGUACGUCCUACUUUCGAUUUUUCAUAUGGACAACUUUAUUUCAAAUUUCAAGACCCCGCUUUUUGUCUACAUCGAAAUGAACAGAAACUUUAGCAUAAUACUAUUUGUCUUUCUAAGAUUUAAAAAAAUUAGUGUAGAAAUAUGUAAAUAAAAAAAACUCGACCCACUGAACUUACAUUAUGCCUUUGAUAUAAGAUUAUUAUGAUGUCAAUAAGUAAAUAAGUAAUUUAUUACAUGUACUUGCUAAUUGAUUGAUUGUUCUUGUAUUUUACAUCUUAUCUUAAUUGAUUUUACGGAGGUUAGAAAUUUCCCACCGUUAUGUUAGGUCAAGACACUUUUAUUGUUGUUUACAUUAAGAUAUUUGUAAACAAAUUGUUUGAAUGUUUUUAAGAUGCCGGAUGCCGGAUUUUUAUUGUUAUGGGUUAUCAAAUGAAGAUGGUUAACCUAUUUAUUGUUAUCUGUAAAAAUAUGUCCCUGAAGUUGAUAUAUUAUUUGCUGUUUAAUAAAACAAAGAAUUUAUGACAGAUAAAUGCAUUGUUAUAUGAUGGCCAGUUGCCAGUCCUUUACUGUAGGUCAAAUGAUGGGAAGAAUGUGCUUAAAACUUAUCGUGUUGAUGUACAGUAAUCAGAAACAUACAUUUAGAUUACUGAAUUAACGUCAGAAAAAUAUAGCC